GUCUGGCUCUGGGUCCUGCUCCUACCUCAGGAAAUGAGCUGGCUCUUCUGAAUAUUGGCCUUUCCUUCUGCCCAGAAUUCUUUCCCAGGAUAUUCAUAAAGCUCACCCUCUCACUUCCUCCUGAUUGCUGCUCAUUCAUCUCUUCAGAGACAACUUCCUUAUUACAGACGUCCCCAUCUGGAGUGAUGAACCUUGCCAGGAAAGACCGAAUCUUGUUUCCUGGCACCCCAACUCACUCAUGAGGACCAGAUUUUAGUAAAGUGUUCUCAACUAGAACUUUCCUGAGGAUCACACCCAGAACAAGAAGCCCACAAAGAGCAUUUCACAUGCAUCA
ensembl:lncRNA